UUCUUUGCACUUAAGGUGAAUAUCACGUCUGGCUUACAUUACUCUGUUUUGUCUGUGUUUUAAUCAUCUUUUGGUGAGUGCUCUGCAGUUGGAUACUUGAGGACCAUUAGGGUGGUGAUAGUAAGAUGGAACAAAAGCUUGGAGUGCUGCUAAAGAAGUUGGAAUGGUAGAAUGAGUCUUGUCAUCUUCCUCAUGGCCUCACCUCUGCCCUCUUCCUGCACUCACCCUUUUCCCUUUUGUAGCUAAACCAUUUCCCAGGCUCAUUCCAGAUUGGGAGGAAGGACCGGCUAUGGCGGAACCUGUCACGUAUGCAGAGCCGCUUUGGCAAGAAGGAGUUCAGUUUCUUCCCCCAGUCCUUUAUCCUGCCCCAGGACGCCAAGCUCCUGCGCAAAGCGUGGGAGAGCAGCAGCCGCCAAAAGUGGAUUGUGAAGCCACCAGCAUCAGCUCGAGGCAUUGGCAUCCAGGUUAUUCACAAGUGGAGUCAGCUCCCCAAGCGAAGGCCCCUCCUGGUACAGAGGUAUCUACACAAACCCUACCUCAUCAGUGGCAGCAAGUUUGACCUGCGGAUCUAUGUUUACGUCACUUCCUA
rnacentral:sRNA from 1 species